AGCAUAGUUUACAAUAGCAUCCAGCUGCAGAGCAGUCUGCUGGCAAGAGCCUGGACAGGCCCUAGAGAACGAAGAGGACGAAGAUGACAAGCAGCUUUGAAUUCCUUCUGUUUUCAUGUUGAGCAGCAGCUGCUGCUAGAGCCUGGUAUGUCUGAGAUGAUUCCCACUCAUCACUGACUCUCUUGGGUGAGAGGAAGCGCCACACUCAUCCCUAGAAGAGUAUGAAGAAAAAGUGGAGGAAGCUGGAACUAAGUUCAAUGCAGCUCAACAGCUAUGAGAAGUAUGCCGCUGUGGGAUGUUCAGAGUGGAGGAGGCCACACAUGUGCAGGUGCCGCUCUGGAAACAUCUGGGCUGUGAAGGUGAACACUGCAGGAGAGGAGCAGUAGACACCACAUGGAUGCUGAGAAUUGAACCUGGGUCAUUUGGAAGAGCAGCUGAUAAUCUCCUAAUUGCCAAGCCACCUCUCCUGUCCCUGUCCACUGCUUCGGUAGCCGAGUAUUCUUUGUUUGUUUUAAGCCUGAGUCUCAUGUGGCCUGGAUGAUCUCACCCUGACUGUGUAGAAGAGGAUGACCUUAAACUCCUGGUCCUCCUGCCUCCACCUUAGAAGUCUGGGAUUACAAGUGAGCUGCUGUGUCUGGUGUUGCAAACACUUUUCUAUAUUAAUCUGCCUUAAACAUGACUUUAUUUUAUUCUUUAAGUACUAUAGUUGAGUGUUAACUAUUGGAAAUGUGCAUCCAACAUUUUCAAUUACAUAUUACACAUGAGUGAACAGUUUUAUAAGGAAACCCACUGUGCAUACCAUGAAUAUUACUUUGGCUAGUGAAACAGUGAGCCAAGGGGGAUGAACACUUUCAGGCUCUGGUACAUUUUGCUUACUUGCUUUUUGGUAUAAUAAAUUCACCCUCCCAUGGCACAGAAGGUGAUGCUUGCCGCUGCCUUGUAUCCUAACAUAGCUCUACUCUUAACUCUCAACAUUCUGUUUGCUUUCUUUCUUUUUAAAUUUUUUAAAAUUUCAAGGUACUAUACAAGAAAGUUUCAGUCAAAGUAUAAUUUGGGGAUAUAAACAAAGAUUCUGAUCGUUCCUUUCUCUGUUGUAUAUAAGAGACUAAGGAAAGAUCCUGCCCUUGAGAUUUUACAAAUCACAAUAUUUAGCAAGACACAGAGGAAUGGGACCCCCCAUUCAGUGCUGGCAUGAAUGAAAAAACUGGUGUAAAAACUAGAGUGGUAGUUUCUAAAAAGAAAUUAAUAAUAAUACAAAAUUAUCAUAGAUUCAGAAAUUCCAUUCAUUUGUAUCAAGUAAGAGAAAUAAAAAUGUACACACAAAUACUUGUACAGAGCACUACUCAUAGCCACACAUGUCCACUAACUGAUAAUUGGUCAAUUCAAAUGUGCUAUCUCCAUACAAUAGAACGUUUUUGGCAAUAAAAAGAUCUGAGGUACCCCUGCACGAGUGAAUUGAAGGUUCUAACAGUAUCUAAACAAAGCAUGGUAGGCACAGAGGAUCAUGUGACUUCAUGUCUAUGUCAUGUCUGUGACACACCGGAAACAGAGAAUCCCAAAGAGAUGGAAAGUUGUUCAGUGGUCUCUGCGUAUGUGUGUGCAUUGGUGACCAGUAGUUGAGGAUGUGGAAUAUUUUAUUUUUCUUUUAAACCAAGGGUAAUAAAAUGUUCUAAAAC
rnacentral:lncRNA from 1 species